GGUGUUCGGGCGGGUCGGCGAUCCUACGGGAGGCAGCAGUGGGGAAUAUUGCGCAAUGGGCGAAAGCCUGACGCAGCGACGCCGCGUGGGGGAGGAAGGCCCCAGGGUUGUAAACCCCUGUCAGGUGGGACGAACCACGGAUCGGUCAAUACCCGGUCCGCCUGACGGUACCACCAGAGGAAGCUCCGGCUAACUCCGUGCCAGCAGCCGCGGUAAUACGGAGGGAGCGAGCGUUGUUCGGAAUCACUGGGCGUAAAGGGCGCGUAGGCGGUCGGGUAAGUCGGGUGUGAAAUUCCGGGGCUCAACCCCGUGGACUGCAUCCGAUACUGCUCGACUAGAGAGAGGUAGGGGCGAGUGGAAUUCCCGGUGUAGCGGUGGAAUGCGUAGAUAUCGGGAAGAACACCGGUGGCGAAGGCGGCUCGCUGGGCCUCAUCUGACGCUGAGACGCGAAAGCGUGGGGAGCAAACAGGAUUAGAUACCCUGGUAGUCCACGCCGUAAACGAUGAGCACUAGGUGUAGCGGGUAUUGACCCCUGCUGUGCCGUAGCUAACGCAUUAAGUGCUCCGCCUGGGGACUACGGUCGCAAGACUAAAACUCAAAUGAAUUGACGG
rnacentral:rRNA from 1 species